rnacentral:rRNA from 1 species
GAUGAACGCUGGCGGCGUGCUUAAUACAUGCAAGUCGAGCGAACGGACGAGAAGUUUGUUUCUUUGAUGUUAGCGGCGGACGGGUGAGUAACACGUGGAUAACCUCCCUAUAAGACUGGGAAAACUUCGGGAAACCGGAGCUAAUCCGGGAUAAUAUUUUGCACCGCAUGGUUCAAAAGUGAAAGACGGUCUUGCUGUCACUUAUAGAUGGAUCCCCGCUGCAUUAGCUGGUUGGUAAGGUAACGGCUUACCAAGGCAACGAUGCGUAGCCGACCUGAGAGGGUGAUCGGCCACACUGGAACUGAGACACGGUCCAGACUCCUACGGGAGGCAGCAGUAGGGAAUCUGCCGCAAUGGGCGAAAGCCUGACGGAGCAACGCCGCGUGAGUGAUGAAGGUCUUCGGAUCGUAAAACUCUGUUAUUAGGGAAGAACAUAUGUGUAAGUAACUGUGCACAGCUUGACGGUACCUAAUCAGAAAGCCACGGCUAACUACGUG